GGGUUGUGAGGUUAAGCGACUAAGCGUACACGGUGGAUGCCCUGGCAGUCAGAGGCGAUGAAGGACGUGCUAAUCUGCGAUAAGCGUCGGUAAGGUGAUAUGAACCGUUAUAACCGGCGAUUUCCGAAUGGGGAAACCCAGUGUGAUUCGUCACACUAUCAUUAACUGAAUCCAUAGGUUAAUGAGGCGAACCGGGGGAACUGAAACAUCUAAGUACCCCGAGGAAAAGAAAUCAACCGAGAUUCCCCCAGUAGCGGCGAGCGAACGGGGAGCAGCCCAGAGCCUGAAUCAGUAUGUGUGUUAGUGGAAGCGUCUGGAAAGGCGCGCGAUACAGGGUGACAGCCCCGUACACAAAAAUGCACAUGCUGUGAGCUCGAUGAGUAGGGCGGGACACGUGGUAUCCUGUCUGAAUAUGGGGGGACCAUCCUCCAAGGCUAAAUACUCCUGACUGACCGAUAGUGAACCAGUACCGUGAGGGAAAGGCGAAAAGAACCCCGGCGAGGGGAGUGAAAAAGAACCUGAAACCGUGUACGUACAAGCAGUGGGAGCACAGAGCAAUCUGUGUGACUGCGUACCUUUUGUAUAAUGGGUCAGCGACUUAUAUUCUGUAGCAAGGUUAACCGAAUAGGGGAGCCGAAGGGAAACCGAGUCUUAACUGGGCGUUAAGUUGCAGGGUAUAGACCCGAAACCCGGUGAUCUAGCCAUGGGCAGGUUGAAGGUUGGGUAACACUAACUGGAGGACCGAACCGACUAAUGUUGAAAAAUUAGCGGAUGACUUGUGGCUGGGGGUGAAAGGCCAAUCAAACCGGGAGAUAGCUGGUUCUCCCCGAAAGCUAUUUAGGUAGCGCCUCGUGAAUUCAUCUCCGGGGGUAGAGCACUGUUUCGGCAAGGGGGUCAUCCCGACUUACCAACCCGAUGCAAACUGCGAAUACCGGAGAAUGUUAUCACGGGAGACACACGGCGGGUGCUAACGUCCGUCGUGAAGAGGGAAACAACCCAGACCGCCAGCUAAGGUCCCAAAGUCAUGGUUAAGUGGGAAACGAUGUGGGAAGGCCCAGACAGCCAGGAUGUUGGCUUAGAAGCAGCCAUCAUUUAAAGAAAGCGUAAUAGCUCACUGGUCGAGUCGGCCUGCGCGGAAGAUGUAACGGGGCUAAACCAUGCACCGAAGCUGCGGCAGCGACGCUGAUGCGUUGUUGGGUAGGGGAGCGUUCUGUAAGCCUGUGAAGGUGUGCUGUGAGGCAUGCUGGAGGUAUCAGAAGUGCGAAUGCUGACAUAAGUAACGAUAAAGCGGGUGAAAAGCCCGCUCGCCGGAAGACCAAGGGUUCCUGUCCAACGUUAAUCGGGGCAGGGUGAGUCGACCCCUAAGGCGAGGCCGAAAGGCGUAGUCGAUGGGAAACAGGUUAAUAUUCCUGUACUUGGUGUUACUGCGAAGGGGGGACGGAGAAGGCUAUGUUGGCCGGGCGACGGUUGUCCCGGUUUAAGCGUGUAGGCUGGUUUUCCAGGCAAAUCCGGAAAACUAAGGCUGAGGCGUGAUGACGAGGCACUACGGUGCUGAAGCAACAAAUGCCCUGCUUCCAGGAAAAGCCUCUAAGCAUCAGGUAACAUCAAAUCGUACCCCAAACCGACACAGGUGGUCAGGUAGAGAAUACCAAGGCGCUUGAGAGAACUCGGGUGAAGGAACUAGGCAAAAUGGUGCCGUAACUUCGGGAGAAGGCACGCUGAUAUGUAGGUGAAGUCCCUCGCGGAUGGAGCUGAAAUCAGUCGAAGAUACCAGCUGGCUGCAACUGUUUAUUAAAAACACAGCACUGUGCAAACACGAAAGUGGACGUAUACGGUGUGACGCCUGCCCGGUGCCGGAAGGUUAAUUGAUGGGGUCAGCGCAAGCGAAGCUCUUGAUCGAAGCCCCGGUAAACGGCGGCCGUAACUAUAACGGUCCUAAGGUAGCGAAAUUCCUUGUCGGGUAAGUUCCGACCUGCACGAAUGGCGUAAUGAUGGCCAGGCUGUCUCCACCCGAGACUCAGUGAAAUUGAACUCGCUGUGAAGAUGCAGUGUACCCGCGGCAAGACGGAAAGACCCCGUGAACCUUUACUAUAGCUUGACACUGAACAUUGAGCCUUGAUGUGUAGGAUAGGUGGGAGGCUUUGAAGUGUGGACGCCAGUCUGCAUGGAGCCGACCUUGAAAUACCACCCUUUAAUGUUUGAUGUUCUAACGUUGACCCGUAAUCCGGGUUGCGGACAGUGUCUGGUGGGUAGUUUGACUGGGGCGGUCUCCUCCUAAAGAGUAACGGAGGAGCACGAAGGUUGGCUAAUCCUGGUCGGACAUCAGGAGGUUAGUGCAAUGGCAUAAGCCAGCUUGACUGCGAGCGUGACGGCGCGAGCAGGUGCGAAAGCAGGUCAUAGUGAUCCGGUGGUUCUGAAUGGAAGGGCCAUCGCUCAACGGAUAAAAGGUACUCCGGGGAUAACAGGCUGAUACCGCCCAAGAGUUCAUAUCGACGGCGGUGUUUGGCACCUCGAUGUCGGCUCAUCACAUCCUGGGGCUGAAGUAGGUCCCAAGGGUAUGGCUGUUCGCCAUUUAAAGUGGUACGCGAGCUGGGUUUAGAACGUCGUGAGACAGUUCGGUCCCUAUCUGCCGUGGGCGCUGGAGAACUGAGGGGGGCUGCUCCUAGUACGAGAGGACCGGAGUGGACGCAUCACUGGUGUUCGGGUUGUCAUGCCAAUGGCACUGCCCGGUAGCUAAAUGCGGAAGAGAUAAGUGCUGAAAGCAUCUAAGCACGAAACUUGCCCCGAGAUGAGUUCUCCCUGACUCCUUGAGAGUCCUGAAGGAACGUUGAAGACGACGACGUUGAUAGGCCGGAUGUGUAAGCGCAGCGAUGCGUUGAGCUAACCGGUACUAAUGAACCGUGAGGCUUAACCUUACAACGCCGAAGGUGUUU
rnacentral:rRNA from 2 species